UUUUUCUGUUGGUGCUAAGGAUUUGAAAGACCCCCGAAGGGAGCCCCCCACUCAAGUCUCGGGAAAGACGCGCACCCAGUAGGACACAGACACCG
rnacentral:pre_miRNA from 14 species